UACAGAGACUGCAAGCGUUAUUCGGAUUCACUGGGCGUAAAGGGUGCGCAGGCGGUCGGGUGUGUCAGAUGUGAAAUCCCGAGGCUCAACCUCGGAACUGCGUCUGAAACUACUCGACUAGAGUACUGGAGAGGGUAACGGAAUUCACGGUGUAGCAGUGAAAUGCGUAGAUAUCGUGAGGAACACCAGAGGCGAAGGCGGCUACCUGGACCAGCACUGACACUGAGGCACGAAAGCGUGGGGAGCAAACAGG
rnacentral:rRNA from 1 species